rnacentral:rRNA from 1 species
CCUACGGGAGGCAGCAGUGAGGAAUAUUGGACAAUGGACGAGAGUCUGAACCAGCCAAGCAGCGUGAAGGAUGAAUGCCCUAUGGGUUGUAAACUUCUUUUAUAUGGGAAUAAAACAGGGUAUGCAUACCCUCUUGUAUGUACCAUAUGAACAAGGAUCGGCUAACCCCGCGCCAGCAGCCGCGCUAAUACGGAGGGUACGAGCGUUAUCCGGAUUGAUUGGGUUUAAAGGGAGCGUAGGGGGUUUGUUAAGUCAGUUGUGAAAGUCUGCGGCUCAACCGAAGAAUUGCAGUUGAAACUGGCAGUCUUGAGUACAGUAGAGGUGAGCGGAAUUCGUGGUGUAGCGGUGAAAUGCUUAGAUAUCUCGAAGAACUCCGAUUGCGAAGGCAGCUCACUGGACUGCAACUGACACUGAUGCUCGAAAGUGUGGGUAGCAAACAGGAUUAGAUACCCUUGUAGUC